CACCGGAAUGAUAACUGGAUGGCUUGUCGGUCUCAGUCCCUCGCUGUCUUUUAAGUUUCCGGAAGAUCGAUGCAGGAAAUGCUUCUUACACAGCAUCGAUACUUGGUUAUCGACGUCUGUUUACUUUUCCUCAACAUUC
rnacentral:snoRNA from 1 species